rnacentral:rRNA from 1 species
UUCGCAAUGCCCGAAAGGGUGACGAAGCGACGCCGCGUGGGUGAGGAAGGCCCUCGGGUUGUAAAGCCCUGUCAGGAGUUAAGAAAUGUAGGUACGCUAAUAUCGUAUCUAUUUGACAAAGGCUCCAAAGGAAGCCACGGCUAACUCUGUGCCAGCAGCCGCGGUAAUACAGAGGUGGCAAGCGUUGUUCGGAAUUAUUGGGCGUAAAGAGCACGUAGGUGGAUUUGUAAGUCAGAUGUGAAAGCCUUCUGUUCAACGGAAGAAUUGCAUCUGAAACUGCAAGUCUUGAGUGUAGGAGGGGAGAAUGGAACUUCUGGUGGAGCGGUGAAAUGCGUAGAUAUCAGAAGGAACGCCGGCGGCGAAAGCGAUUCUCUGGCCUAUUACUGACACUCAGUGUGCGAAAGCUAGGGGAGCAAACGGGAUUAGAUACCCCGGUAGUCCUAGCCGUAAACGAUGGGCACUAAGUAGAGGGGUUUU